CUGGCGGCGUGCCUAACACAUGCAAGUCGAACGGAGUAUUACCGCUGAAGAACUUCGGCCGAUUCUUGGUAAUUCUUAGUGGCGGACGGGUGAGUAACGCGUGGGUAACCUGCCUCGUACUGGGGGAUAGCAGUUGGAAACGACUGAUAAUACCGCAUAAGCGCACAGUGUCGCAUGACACGGUGUGAAAAACUCCGGUGGUACGAGAUGGACCCGCGUCAGAUUAGCUAGUUGGUGAGGUAAAGGCCCACCAAGGCGACGAUCUGUAGCCGGACUGAGAGGUCGAACGGCCACAUUGGGACUGAGACACGGCCCAAACUCCUACGGGAGGCAGCAGUGGGGGAUAUUGCACAAUGGAGGAAACUCUGAUGCAGCGACGCCGCGUGAGUGAAGAAGUAUUUCGGUAUGUAAAGCUCUAUCAGCAGGGAAGAAAGGCUCGUAAGAGAGAUGACGGUACCUGACUAAGAAGCUCCGGCUAAAUACGUGCCAGCAGCCGCGGUAAUACGUAUGGAGCAAGCGUUAUCCGGAUUUACUGGGUGUAAAGGGAGCGCAGACGGUCAAGCAAGUCUGAAGUGAAACCCCACGGCUCAUCCGUGGGCUUGCUUUGGAAACUGUUUAACUAGAGUACUGGAGAGGUAAGCGGAAUUCCUAGUGUAGCGGUGAAAUGCGUAGAUAUUAGGAGGAACACCGGUGGCGAAGGCGGCUUACUGGACAGCAACUGACGUUGAGGCUCGAAGGCGUGGGGAGCAAAACGGGAUAGAUACCCCUGGAAGUCCACGCGGUAAACGAUGAAUACUAGGUGUUGGGAGACAUAGUCU
rnacentral:rRNA from 1 species